rnacentral:rRNA from 1 species
AGUUCGGAUUGUAGGCUGCAACUCGCCUACAUGAAGUCGGAAUUGCUAGUAAUCGCGGAUCAGCAUGCCGCGGUGAAUACGUUCCCGGGCCUUGUACACACCGCCCGUCACACCAUGGGAGUCGGUAACGCCCGAAGCCGGUGACCUAACCGAAAGGGAGGAGCCGUCGAAGGUGGGACCGAUAACUGGGGUGAAGUCGUAACAAGGUAGC